rnacentral:lncRNA from 1 species
ACGAACAUUGCCCUUCUUUUUCUCUGUUGUAAAUACAGACGUAUAUAUUCUUCAAAACGUCUCAUUUUACAUAUUGCAUGUAGGCUAUUGAUUUACUGUAAAUAAUUGACUAUUUAAUUAUCACAAAUGAACAGUAACUAGAGGCCUAAAUAAAAAGUCUACGAAGAUGUCUAGUAGGUAUCUAGCCCAAAAUCGUUUAAAGAUAUAUUUUAAGUAGCUUUUUUAUACAUGGG